rnacentral:tRNA from 1 species
GAGGGUAUAGCCCAGUGGUAGAGCACAUGCUUAGCAUGCACAAGGUCCUGGGUUCAAUUCCCAGUACCUCCA